AAGAAACAUGUGAGAGAGUUUAGUGUGAGAGCUUUCUUCUAAAAAUUCAAAAACUAGAAUUUUGGGGCUUGAAGUUGAAGUAGUUUCUGUUGUAUUUUAAAGGACCAGCAGGGUCUCGGGAUGUUAAAGGGAAGGGGAAAAUCUGAUUAUUUUACUUAUAUGCUUAAUAUGUUGUUUGGAAGAUCAAUAUGUUUUUGUGAAGAUAUAUGUAGACAUACAUAUGUUAGUUCAGAGUUUUCUUUUGGAAAUUUUUAGAUGUAAAUUAUGUCCAUAUAGAAACUCUGUACUAGUGGGAUCAAUGUGGUGUAAUAUGUAUUUCUUUUAUAUGAAAUAUAUGUUAUAUGC